rnacentral:rRNA from 1 species
AUGGCCUACGGGGCGCAGCAGUGGGGAAUAUUGCACAAUGGGGGAAACCCUGAUGCAGCGACGCCGCGUGAGCGAAGAAGUAUUUCGGUAUGUAAAGCUCUAUCAGCAGGGAAGAAAAUGACGGUACCUGACUAAGAAGCCCCGGCUAACUACGUGCCAGCAGCCGCGGUAAUACGUAGGGGGCACGCGUUAUCCGGAUUUACUGGGUGUAUAGGGAGCGUAGGUGGCAUGGUAAGCCAGAAGUGAAAACCCUGGGCUCAACCCCGCGGAUUGCUUUUGGAACUAUCAGGCUGGGUUGCUGGAGG